rnacentral:rRNA from 1 species
UACAGAGGGGGGCAAGCGUUGUUCGGAAUUACUGGGCGUAAAGGGCGCGUAGGCGGCCUUCUAAGUCGAACGUGAAAUCCCCGGGCUCAACCCGGGAACUGCGUCCGAUACUGGGAGGCUUGAAUCCGGGAGAGGGAUGUGGAAUUCCAGGUGUAGCGGUGAAAUGCGUAGAUAUCUGGAGGAACACCGGUGGCGAAGGCGGCAUCCUGGACCGGUAUUGACGCUGAGGCGCGAAAGCGUGGGGAGCGAACAGG